rnacentral:rRNA from 1 species
AUUGAACGCUGGCGGCAGGCCUAACACAUGCAAGUCGAGCGCGAAAGUUCUUCGGAAUGAGUAAAGCGGCGGACGGGUGAGUAAUACAUGGGAAUCUGCCUGGUAGUGGGGGACAACGUUUCGAAAGGAACGCUAAUACCGCAUACGCCCUACGGGGAAAGGGGGGAUCGCAAGGACCUCUCGCUAUCAGAUGAGCCCAU